rnacentral:rRNA from 1 species
GUCCACGCCGUAAACGAUGGGCGCUAGGUGUGAGUGGUGUCGACUCCAUUCGUGCCGAAGCUAACGCAUUAAGCGCCCCGCCUGGGGAGGUACGGCCGCAAGGUUAAAACUACAAAGGAAUUGACGGGGACCCCGGCACAAGCAGCGGAGCAUGUGGGUUUAAUUUCGACGCAACGCGAAGAACCUUACCUAGGAUUGACAUGUCGAGGAAACACCUGGAAACAGGUGCCCCUUUAUGGUCUCGUCACAGGUGGUGCAUGGCUGUCGU